UACGGAGGGCGCAAGCGUUGUUCGGAAUCAUUGGGCGUAAAGCGCGUGUAGGCGGCUUGGCAAGUCGGGUGUGAAAUCCCGGGGCUCAACCCCGGAACUGCAUUCGAUACUGUCUCGCUAGAGUCCCGGAGAGGAAGGCGGAAUUCCCGGUGUAGAGGUGAAAUUCGUAGAUAUCGGGAGGAACACCAGUGGCGAAGGCGGCCUUCUGGACGGUGACUGACGCUGGGAUGCGAAAGCGUGGGGAGCAAACAGG
rnacentral:rRNA from 1 species